rnacentral:rRNA from 1 species
GACGAACGCUGGCGGCGUGCUUAACACAUGCAAGUCGAACGGUGAAGGGACUGGUUUUGCUGGUCCUGGAUGAGUGGCGAACGGGUGAGUAACACGUGAGUAACCUGCCCCCUUCUUCUGGAUAACCGCAUGAAAGUGUGGCUAAUACGGGAUAUUCUGGGUCUGUCGCAUGGUGGGCCUGGGAAAGAUUGCGCCUUUUUUGGUGUUUUUGGUGGGGGAUGGGCUCGCGGCCUAUCAGCUUGUUGGUGGGGUGAUGGCCUACCAAGGCGGUGACGGGUAGCCGGCCUGAGAGGGUGGACGGUCACACUGGGACUGAGACACGGCCCAGACUCCUACGGGGGGCAGCAGUGGGGAAUCUUGCACAAUGGGCGCAAGCCUGAUGCAGCGACGCCGCGUGAGGGAUGGAGGCCUUCGGGUUGUGAACCUCUUUCGCCAGUGAAGCAGGCCUGCCUCUUUUUGUGGGUGGGUUGACGGUAGCUGGAUAAGAAGCGCCGGCUAACUACGUG